GAUGAACGCUGGCGGCGUGCCUAAUACAUGCAAGUCGAGCGAACAGACGAGGAGCUUGCUCCUCUGACGUUAGCGGCGGACGGGUGAGUAACACGUGGAUAACCUACCUAUAAGACUGGGAUAACUUCGGGAAACCGGAGCUAAUACCGGAUAAUAUAUUGAACCGCAUGGUUCAAUAGUGAAAGACGGUUUUGCUGUCACUUAUAGAUGGAUCCGCGCCGCAUUAGCUAGUUGGUAAGGUAACGGCUUACCAAGGCAACGAUGCGUAGCCGACCUGAGAGGGUGAUCGGCAAACCUGGAACGAGACAAGGGUCCAACCCCCAACGGGGGGAAGCAGUGGGAAAUCUUCCGAAAGGGGCAAAACCCGAAGGGAGAACCGCGGGGGGGGUGAGGAAGGUCUUGGGAUGGAAAAACUUUUUUAUGGGGGAAAAAAAAAUGUGAAAGUAACUAUCCCCUUUUUGGCGGUACCUAACCAAAAAGCCACGGCUAACUACGU
rnacentral:rRNA from 1 species